CCGUCGUCAAGGAUGAAGCACAGGAAGAGUGCAAUGUCAUCAAAAAUCUCUGCUGAACACAGUGAGAGCUCACUGAGAAUUGCAGCCACUGCCACUGAACCAGACUGACGUGUUAGUUUCGCAAAAGCAAGUGUGCAUGCCGUGUGGCCGGGCGGAUGUUGACCCGAAUAUUUGUGGGUAUAUUUGUCGGAAGAAUGGGAUCCUUGUCCAUUCAUUUUGCCUGUUUUUUUGCCACCGGCCUUUAUCAAGAAGACAACUUUCUAUUGGGAAUUUUGGGGUUUCCCCUUGCUGCCGUCACACGCAAGGUCAAGCAGGGAAACGAGAAGACGUCUGCCAACAUCACGGCUAAAGCAAGACCAGGAAUUGAGGUCCUCCCGCUUGCUGCCAUCGCACGCAAGGUCAGGCAGGCAAACA
ensembl:lncRNA